UUUAAAGAGAGUUUGAUCCUGGCUCAGGACGAACGCUGGCGGCGUGCCUAAUACAUGCAAGUCGAACGAACGGAGGAAGAGCUUGCUCUUCCAAUGUUAGUGGCGGACGGGUGAGUAACACGUGGGCAACCUGCCUGUAAGUUGGGGA
rnacentral:rRNA from 1 species